UCUUUUAUUUCAACUUUGCUCCUUUUGCUUUGCUGUCAAAUGAAUAACGAUUUUGUGACGCGUGGGAUCCUCGACCGCUUCCUUCCUUUAUCCCCCCCUCCCUCCUCACCUCAUAUGGCAAACCCUCGUCCCUCUUCACCUCGUCUAAACACCAUGAGCUAGAAGAGAGACAAACCCUACUUCUCCCGCCACGCCCCCUACUCCGGGUCGAAACACUGUCGCCCCCUGCCUCCACAUCCGGAACCCAAACCCGAGCUCGACAAGCCCACUUACAAGCAACCUACCGUGCCACCGACUCCGCUCAAGCCGCCAUUGCUGCCUCUCUCGACCCAUCAUUCGGUAUCACCAUCGAAUCCAAAAAACUGCAGGUGCUUUGGCCGACGGACUCACUUGCCUUGUGGCGGAAGGGAGUUGGAGCUGGUGCUGAAAUUAGAGAUUCCGGUGCCAGGUCGUUGGAAAGUUCGAUCACUGCUGCCACCAGUUCACGCAGGCCUCAUCUCUAAGCUUUGGGAUCUGUAGACUGCUACAACUGCAGAGGU